UGAAUGAAAACAUUCAUUUCGGUCACAAAGUUAGGCGGCUUCUCAAACACCUGGAGGGAGUGGGAAGGGAAGGGGCUCAGGGUCAGCUUGGGUAUUGUUGUCAACGUUCAAAGGGAUUAAAAGACGGAGCCUUUGAGUUUCCUCUUUGUGAGCCCAGAGAUUGUAUGAAGAAGGAAACAGAAGUCUUAUGAGGGGCAAAUGGCAUUUCUUGUAAUGUCAUAGCUACAAAUGAGCAAUUCAGAGCCUUGAAGGAGAGGCUGGCUUUCUCGGGAGCCACUCACUGUCCCAGGGUCAGAGCUCCUCUGUGGACCCCCGGAUUCCAGAACUCACAUAAUGAGCGUUUCAUCAAUAAUCUAAUCUGUGUCCUCUUAGCCGUGUGUGAUGGUCAAUGACUCACCCAUUGGGAAAUGUCUAGUUUCUUCUCUGAGAUUCUAAAAAAGCCUAGUCAAAAUCUAACUUUCACUCCCCCCACUUGACAAUCAGAAAAUUGCUAGGUUGAAAAAAAAGAUGAAACUAAAUGCUUUUUCUUUUCCUUCCUUUUAUAAUAGGUUCCCCCCACUGCUGCGCCAUGCGAUAAGGUUAAUAUAACAGCUGCCAUAAGGAUCAUUAAUACACGCAGAUAAGCGAAGUUGCAUGUUUAAAACACUUUCAGGGUAUCAUUUGCCUCCCCCUGCUGAUAAAGAAGGCUUUGGUAACAAAUGCAGGAUACAGGCACGGAACAUUUAGCUUUCCAGACGGAGAGCCCGACUGACCUCUCCUAAUAUGUUAUUACUCAGCUAUGGACUGGACAUAUUGAAGUGUGAUUUCCUGGAGAGAGUGUUGACUGGAAGGAAGUCUGGUACAUUGGUUCUGGCUCUGUGCCUAGCGCAGACCCAAAGGCAGCUCCCACCCUCCCCUGACUGCAGUUUCCUCAUCAGUAUGGAACUCUCGAAGGCAGAUGGACAAGCCCUGCUCCAGGAAGUCACUCAGGGACCCAGGCUGGUGGACUGGCUCUCCCAUCCUCAGCAUGUGCUUUCCAGAUUGUCAUUCCCUAUGUCCAGCCUGUAAGGAGAAAGGAGGGAGCACAACUUGGGGCCCUCCUUAUUCUAAGUCAGAGUUCGGACCUCUUUAAGAAGACAUCUGGAAGUUGCACACGUCGCUCCAUCACUUGGUAGGAACUUAGUCGCGUGGCCACAUCUGCAAGCAAGGCCGGGCAAAGUCUCUAGCUGGAUGGCUGUGUCCAGGAGGGAGGAGAGAAUGCCACAUUUGAGAUGAUAGGAUUUGAGGGGGUCCUCGAGAAAGGCCAUGGAGAUGGAAAUUAAAUCACUCAGGUAGACUAAGGACAUUUCUACACUGCAGGGAAACCCAGUGAUGACAACCGCAUAAUGAUACCUUGUGAAAGGCUGCAUGAGUCGCAUGCACUUGAAUUUUCAGCGAAUGCAACAUUUGCUGAACAAAAACAGAGCAGCUAAGUGAAGUGCUUAGAGGGCCAACACAGAAUCGUGCUCUCUUUCUCACCCGUGUAAAAUUAGCUGAGAGAAUGGUUUUAGAGGAGAGUCAAUAUAUGUAGACAUUAUGAAGAUAACUUAACUGCCUUUGCUGUUGGAACCCUGUCUUUUAAGGUGUUAAAAGGUGUGUGUUUGAAACUUUGUGUAUUUUCAUGUAACAAAAAGAGAGACACCACAGAACUUAAAAUGAGCAAAAGAAGAACUAAUUUAAGCUAGUUUAAUGAAUUCAUUUAUGUGAAGAAACAUUUAUUGAGCAUGUACUAUAUUCAGAGGAUUGUCUUGGGUUCUGCAGGGGAUACAAUGAUAACAAACAGUCCUUUUUCUCAGGGGUCCUCAAGCCGGGGGCAGCUACACAUGAAAACAGCCAACCCUGGUACAAGACAGAAUGAAUAACUAGGUGCCAUGGUUGAGGGUAGUGGCCAUCCAUUGGUUUACUGCCCACUGUCCAUUCUUCUCCGGCAAAUCUCUUGCUUUUCCUCAGGGGCCAGCCCUCUUCAUUCUCAGUUUUCAGUGGAGCUGAUUCAGUCUUCAUGCCCAGAGGGGGCUAUAACUUUUGAGUUACGGGCAAUCAGAGCAAUGGUAUUUUCCUGGCUCAGGUGAUUGGUUCAGGAGUGGGCCGAACACCUGAGCACUGGUUUUUUUACCUGUAAAAUGGGUAUAAUGCUGACUCUACCUCACAGCAUAUUUUUGAGGAGAAACUGUAUUACUCUGAGAAAGGUAUACAUAUCGGUGAAUUAUUACCGAUUUGCAUGGAGUAGAAUAAAUGUAGAGAGUAAAUAUAUACAAAUAAAGUCAUGAAAAUUUCCAUAAGCA